GGAGCCAGCUAGCCCGGGCUGACUUCCUCCAUCUCCCAAACACGUUCCGUACAAUGUGCAUCUCCCCAACGAUUAUCACAAAACUCUGUGUCUUGUGAAAGAGACCCAAAACAAGGCUGCAUCGGCCGGCGCAAGGGCUGACUGUGCCACUGCUGGUGAAGACGAUUCUGAAGAUCUUGGAUCGGGCAACGGAGUAUGCGACGGGAGAGCUGCUGUCGUUGUGCUAGAAUACCUCGCCGCUGAGGUGUUGGAGCUCGCUGGAAACGCUGCAAGGGACAACAACAAGAACCGCAUUAUUCGUGGCCCGAGUGCCCUUUUGAAUUUCACUUCUUUUUUUUCUUUUUUUUUUAAUUUUCUUAAUCUCUAAUUUUUCAGUUUUUUAGUAGGAAAAAAAAAAGUAAAAAGGAAAGUAAAAUUGAGGUUGUAGAUUAUUGGUAUAUAAAAAUAUUGUAAUUUUUUGUGUAUUUUGUAUGUAAGAAUUUUUGUUUAGAUUAUUGGUAUAUAAAAAUGUUGUAAUUUUCUGU